AGUGAACGCUGGCGGUAGGCCUAACACAUGCAAGUCGAACGGCAGCACAGUAAGAGCUUGCUCUUACGGGUGGCGAGUGGCGGACGGGUGAGGAAUACAUCGGAAUCUACUUUUUCGUGGGGGAUAACGUAGGGAAACUUACGCUAAUACCGCAUACGCCCUACGGGUGAAAGCAGGGGAUCUUCGGACCUUGCGCGAAUGAAUGAGCCGAUGUCGGAUUAGCUAGUUGGCGGGGUAAAGGCCCACCAAGGCGACGAUCCGUAGCUGGUCUGAGAGGAUGAUCAGCCACACUGGAACUGAGACACGGUCCAGACUCCUACGGGAGGCAGCAGUGGGGAAUAUUGGACAAUGGGCGCAAGCCUGAUCCAGCCAUACCGCGUGGGUGAAGAAGGCCUUCGGGUUGUAAAGCCCUUUUGUUGGGAAAGAAAAGCAGCAGGUUAAUACCCCGCUGUUCUGACGGUACCCAAAGAAUAAGCACCGGCUAACUUCGUG
rnacentral:rRNA from 1 species